CCUCCCACUCCACACACACCCUGUUUGCCCGUGAGCCUGGGGAACUUGCAGCUUAAAGCCAGCCACCCCCACGGCAACAUGUACCCCAGCAACAAGAAGAAAAAGGUGUGGAGAGAGGAGAAAGAACGUUUACUGAAGAUGACCUUAGAGGAGAGACGCAAAGAAUACAUAAGGGACUAUGUUCCCCUGAACACCAUCCUAUCGUGGAAGGAAGAGAUGAUGAAAGGCAAGAGCCAAAAUGAUGGAAGCAUCUCUAAUGGUUGAAGAAGUGGUGGAGGAUGACAUGGGACAGAGUGCCUGAGGAUCCUUGCCUGGGACAAAUUAUGGGAAGAAAAGUCUUACAGCUUGGGCACUAAGAAAAGAGCUCUUUUAUGCCAUCUUGCCUGCCAGUCUAUUUGGAAUCAAGAAAGACUCAUUGAAGACUCCUUUGAAAAGAAUGUUUUGAAGAAGAAAAAAGAAACACUGUGAGAGAAGGCACACAGACCAGAAGGGUCAUAGAAGCGUAAAUUUUUGUUGUAUAACACCAACAGGACUUCAUUGAGUGAACGUGGGGAAUUGAGAAGGGAGAAAGUUAAGAAAUGACUGAAUUCUGUGGGAAUGGAUGCAAAACUGCUGGCCAUUUACUAACGUGGAAGAACAGUUGUUGCUUUAGUCCGAGGAAUUUGUUUCUGUUGUGUGCAGUUCUCAUAAACUCUUCUCACAUUCAAAUCACCCCUUUGUCCUCUGAGAAUGAUGGCACUUUUGCUUCUGUUAGCAGGGGUUCCAAGGAUGAGUGAACGUGUAUAGUGUUUGCCAAAACCCAAAAAGUACAGUUUGUUUGUUUAUCAUUAGAGGUUUGCAGGAUACCCUGCUUGUAUUUUAAAAUUCUGUUGUGUUUAACACCAACCAUUUAUGGUUUUUUUUAAUCAAUAAAUAUUAGAUUUUCAAGAUGAAAUUCGACUAUUCUUAAUCAUAUUGUAGCCAGUUUUUUCCAAUUUGAUAUCCAGAGAC